GUGAGAAGGGUUUCGGCUCGUAAAACUCUGUUGUUAAAGAAGAACAUAUCUGAGAGUAACUGUUCAGGUAUUGACGGUAUUUAACCAGAAAGCCACGGCUAACUACGUGCCAGCAGCCGCGGUAAU
rnacentral:rRNA from 1 species